rnacentral:rRNA from 1 species
GAUCAACGCUGGCGGCGUGCUUAACACAUGCAAGUCGAACGGUAACGCGGGGGCAACCCUGGCGACGAGUGGCGGACGGGUGAGGAAUGCUUGGGAAUCUGCCUGUUAGUGGGGGACAACCCGGGGAAACUCGGGCUAAUACCGCAUACGCUCUACGGAGGAAAGCGGGGGACCGUAAGGCCUCGCGCUAACAGAUGAGCCCAAGUCGGAUUAGCUAGUUGGUGGGUUAAAGGCCUACCAAGGCUACGAUCCGUAGCUGGUCUGAGAGGACGAUCAGCCACACUGGGACUGAGACACGGCCCAGACUCCUACGGGAGGCAGCAGUGGGGAAUAUUGGACAAUGGGGGAAACCCUGAUCCAGCAAUGCCGCGUGUGUGAAGAAGGCCUGCGGGUUGUAAAGCACUUUUGGCAGGGAUGAAAAGCACUGGAUUAAUAAACCAGUGUGUUGACCUAACCUGCAGAAGAAGCACCGGCUAACUCUGUGCCAGCAGCCGCAGUAAAAC